rnacentral:rRNA from 1 species
CCUUGGUGAUUAUAAAAAACCAAUGCCCUUCGGGGCUAACUGGUGAUUCAUAAUAACUUAACGAAUCGCAUGGCCUUGCGCCGGCGAUGGUUCAUUCAAAUUUCUGCCCUAUCAACUUUCGAUGGUAGGAUAGUGGCCUACCAUGGUGGCAACGGGUAACGGGGAAUUAGGGUUCGAUUCCGGAGAGGGAGCCUGAGAAACGGCUACCACAUCCAAGGAAGGCAGCAGGCGCGCAAAUUACCCAAUCCCGACACGGGGAGGUAGUGACAAUAAAUACUGAUACGGGGCUCUUUUGGGUCUCGUAAUUGGAAUGAGUACAAUCUAAAUCCCUUAACGAGGAACAAUUGGAGGGCAAGUCUGGUGCCAGCAGCCGCGGUAAUUCCAGCUCCAAUAGCGUAUAUUAAAGUUGUUGCAGUUAAAAAGCUCGUAGUUGAACCUUGGGUCUGGCUGGCCGGUCCGCCUCACCGCGAGUACUGGUCCGGCUGGACCUUUCCUUCUGGUUUUAUCUCAUGGCCUUCACUGGCUGUGGGGGGAACCGGGGACUUUUACAAGUUUAUCCCCCCCCCUUACAAAAGGGAGGCCUGCUAACCCUUGAACCUCCCCCCCCCGGGGAUAUAAAAAAAUUAUGCAUUGCGGCGGCCUGGCGGGGGGGGGUGCUCAUUUUUCUCUCUUUAUUUGGGGGGAGGCGCCCCGCGCCCGGGGCAAAAAUAAAAAA